rnacentral:rRNA from 1 species
UUCUGGCUCAGGAUGAACGCUGGCGGCGUGCCUAACACAUGCAAGUCGAACGAAGCAUACGGACCGGAGAUUCGUCGAAGGACCGUAUGACUUAGUGGCGGACGGGUGAGUAAUGUAUGAGCAACCUGCCUUUCAGAGGGGGACAACAGUUGGAAACGACUGCUAAUACCGCGUAACGUAUCGUGAGGGCAUCCUCGUGAUACCAAAGGGGCAAUCCGCUGAAAGAUGGGCUCAUAUCUGAUUAGCUUGUUGGCGGGGUAACGGCCCACCAAGGCGACGAUCAGUAGCCGGACUGAGAGGUUGAACGGCCACAUUGGGACUGAGAUACGGCCCAGACUCCUACGGGAGGCAGCAGUGGGGAAUAUUGGGCAAUGGGCGAAAGCCUCGACCCAGCAACGCCGCGUGAAGGAAGAAGGUCUUCGGAUUGUAAACUUCUUUUAUGAGGGACGAAGGACGUGACGGUACCUCAUGAAUAAGCCACGGCUAACUACGUGCCAGCAGCGGC